UUCAGUACUGGGGGGCAGGGGCCCGGCCAGGAGACAUUGGCUCCUGUGUGCACAUGGGGGGACACGCCAGCGCGCAGGCGUGACGGGAGUCUCCGUCGUAGCUUUAGAACUUUGGGGUUUGCUGCAGUAAUUGGUUGAGAUUUGCUGUGAAGCCAGCCAUGGGUGUUAGGCUGACUAAACAGCAGAAAGAGAUUUAUAAACAAGUUCAGGAGCCCCUGCAGAGUGCAGGUGUCAAAUUUCCUAAGAGCCUUGUGAAAGAGUUUGUCAGAUGGUUAUCAGUAAGUUUUCCGGAGGUAACAGAGCAAGAAGUGAGAGAAAGAUGAUUUUGGAAGCGUGUGGGUGCAGUGCUGAGUGAAAGGACAAAGGCAGGAGAUCCCUCAGUGAAAGAAGGUUUUAUGAGAAUGUUUUUGGUCGUUUACGAUGUUGUGAAAGAGAGUGCAGACACUCAGGGUACCCGGGGAGCAGAAAAGAGCCCCGUCGCGUCCCCUGUGUCCCCCCGCGUCCCCUGUGGUGAGAAAACUAACCGUGCAGAUGUAGAUUUAGUUUCUAACCCUUCUCCGCCUCCUGCUUUUGCUCCCGCAGCUGAAAAUCCAUGCUUUGCACCCCCCAUUCCCCCCCCCGUGCAGCCCCCACAAGAUGGAGGCAGCCAUGUGGUUUUCCCUUCUCUAUCCCAGCAUUACCUGCUCCCUGUGCCAGCCCAGAACACAUCCCCAGCCCUCGCAUUCCUCCCUCCGCCCGUCCCCGAUCCCAACCCCUCCUCCCUUGCGGCGAUCCAGCCUACAUUCCAGCCCCCGGUCCAGCCCUCAGCUCCUCCUCUCGCAGUUCCAUCACCACCCCCUGCUCCUGCCCCUGCCCCGCUCCACAUGGCCCCGCCGGCUGCGGCCACUCCCACACAAGCUGGCCCUCCUCCCUCUCCCUCUCCCGGUCUCCCUGGCAAUGGCAGCACCGAGACUGUCAGCGCGGAGAACCAGGAAGCAGUCAGAGAAACCAACCCUGCGUUCCUGGCCCCUGUGAUUUAUAAUACCAGGGGACAGAACGCCAAAUGGGAGCCCCUUUCGUAUGAUAGUAUUAGGGAACUUUGCAAAAUGAAGCGUGAGUUUGGGGAAAGAAGUGAAUUUUUAAAGAGCAUUUUAAAAGCUACUCUAUGCUCCAAGACAUUUGUCCCCGCUGAUUUGAGGCGUCUUUUCAGUUGCUUGCUCCCUCAGUCUGAGUUUAGAUUGUGGGAAAGAACGUGGAAAAGACUUUCAGCAGAUCUCCUCCCUGAGAUUCUGCAAAGUCCAAGCCAUUCCACAGAUAUAGAGGAUGAGGAAAUCACUUUAGAACAUCUAGUGGGUGAAGGUGAUUGGAGCCAAGCUGAAAAGCAAGCAGCAGGCAUUCCCAGAGCAGUGUUGGACCUGUCCAGGGAUGCAGCAGAACGUGCAUUUUUUAAUAUGCCUUCUAAAGAACCUAUUGUCUCUUAUAUCACCUUGAAGCAGUGUGUUUCAGAACCAUUCAUGGAUUUUGUGAAUCGAGUGCAAGCCUCUGUGGAAAAAAGGGUGCAAAAUCCAGAGCUCCAAGACCAACUUACAUUAGAACUUGUCACCACAAAUGCAAAUGAAGUCUGUCAGCGAGUCAUCCUAUCUCUUCCAUCAUUGCCUCCCCCCACACUCGAUCAGCUCAUCGAGGAGUGCACCAGGAAAGCUAUGCUGAUGACAGAGGACUCAGUGAUAAAACCACGGGAAAGGGUGGCUGCUGCAGUAGCAGCAACCCCGAGGACUCCAGGGUUUGCAGGGCCUCCUCAACAAGGGGGGAAAGUGGGAGGGUGGGGAAUCCUUUUCCUUUAUACUGGCAGAGCAAAUUGUAUCUUUUUCAGAGUUAGUUCACUUUAUUGUAUGAUUUUAUCUCUCUUUCAGACUAGCAGAAUGUCAAUUUCCACAUUCCUGCUCAUCGUUUGGUUCCAGGGAAUGGCCAUCUACCCUUCCACGGUGGAUGCAUGGAUUGUUCCACAGCCCAAGAAAAAUGUGUGGGUCACGCUAGCCCAAGCCUUGCAACAGGAUCAUAUGUGUUUGUCCACUGCCUCAGCACAAAAUCCAAUGUCCACAUGUUUAAUAGGGGUUCCAAGUAAGGAGGAUGAGUUUCCAAUUGAUCUGGUCCGUUUGCAAAAGCAGGUGAACGAAGAUAAAAUACCUAAAGGUGCAGGACAAGUUAAAGCACAAGUGCCAAAUCCCCUCAUUUUGUGGCAAGGGUGGGUUUCACAUUUGCCCACUGCUGAGGGAGAGCCCCAGGAAUUAGAACUCCUAGGCUCUGCAAAAGCUGAAUUUUGCAUUCAAUUUGAUUUUUCCCCAACCAAAGAAGUAAAAUUAUAUGAGCAUGUCAAAGAGUACAAGGUAGAAUUCAGAGCAGGUCAAUGGUGCACAGCUGUCUACAAGCUGAAAUUUACAUCCACCACUGAUUUCCGUCCACGCAAGCUGGACAAGGGAAUGUUUCUUAUCUGUGGGGACAGAGCGUACCCAGGAAUCCCCUCUCGUCUUAUUGGAGGUCCAUGCACUUUUGGGCAUCUGACCCUUGCUUCCCCCAACAUGACCCAAAUUCCAAUUGGGCAAGCAAAAAGUGGGAAAAAAUUUACUAAGCGGAGUGCAAGUCAAUUUGAUGAACAUUGUAAUGCAGAAAUUUAUCAUUGGGCAAAAUCCAAAAGAGUUGCCGUCUCUGUGUUUUUACCAUGGGUUGCGGCAGCCAAAGUAUUGAGUGAAUUAGGCAAUCUCGAAUGCUGGGUGACAAAGCAAGCAAAUUUAACAUCAGCAGCCCUGAGUGACCUCCUAGAAGACGAGAAAAUAACCAGAAAGGCUACCCUCCAAAAUAGGGCAGCUAUUGAUUUCCUGGUGUUGGCACAUGGUCAUGGAUGUAAAGAACUUGAUGGGUUGUGUUGUUUUGAUCUGUCAUCUAAAGGUCAGAGUGUCCACUCAUCCAUUCAGGAAAUGAGAAGCCUCAUUGGAAAUGUGAAGCAAGAAAAUGAGGAUUGGUUUAAAAAUCUGUUCAAAGACUGGGACCUUUCUGGGUGGGCAGUGUCUCUUUUAAAAGACAUCUUUUACUUUCUAGUUGCACUAUUUUUAGUUCUGUUAGCAUUCGGGAUUCUGAAGCGAAUCGUCUCCAAGGUUAUCACCUCGAAGCCAAAGGCUUCCGCACUGGUUUUCAUCGCUGCUGCCGCCACGGAAAGUUAUUGGUGGGAAGAUGACAAGCAGAAAGACACUGCAGUUUAAGAGCCACAGUUUUACCUUCUCCCAAGGCACCGUUCAUCUUAUUAAUUGAAAAGUGGGGAAUUGUUGCUGUCAUGCUGGCAUGGUAGCGUGGAGGAAGGUUUUAGAAAGGCCUUGGGAAUGGUAAACUGAGGAAAAGGAUACAUUCAUGUAUGCCCC
ensembl:lncRNA